UACGUAGGGUGCGAGCGUUAAUCGGAAUUACUGGGCGUAAAGCGUGCGCAGGCGGCGCGUUAAGACAGGUGUGAAAGCCCCGAGCUUAACUUGGGAAUUGCGCUUGUGACUGGCGUGCUGGAGUGUGGCAGAGGGAGGUGGAAUUCCACGUGUAGCAGUGAAAUGCGUAGAGAUGUGGAGGAACACCGAUGGCGAAGGCAGCCUCCUGGGCCAGCACUGAUGCUGAGGCGCGAAAGCUAGGGGAGCAAACAGG
rnacentral:rRNA from 1 species